UACGGAGAACUCAAGCGUUACCCGGAAUCACUGGGCGUAAAGCGUUGCGUAGGCGGUUUUUCAAGUCGGAUCUUAAAGGCCAAGGCUCAACCUUGGAACUGGGUACGAUACUACAAAACUGGAGGAUGGUAGAGGUGAGUGGAAUUGCUGGUGUAGGAGUGAAAUCCGUAGAUAUCAGCAGGAACACCAAUGGCGAAGGCAGCUCACUGGGCCAUUCCUGACGCUGAGGUGCGAAAGCGUGGGGAGCAAACAGG
rnacentral:rRNA from 1 species